AACAUUGAGCAGAUCUUUGUCAUUCCUCACACUGUCACGGUCUCGUUCUUGGUCACUCUCCUACUCCGGCUCACACUCCCGCUCCCACUCUUGCUCAUACUCAGGCUCCCAUUCUUGCCGUUGUUGUUGCUGUUGGUCUUGGCUUUUCUUCCAACUCACACUCACGCCCGAACUUGCUCUCACUUUCGCUCUAGCUCCCGGCUCCGACUUUCACUCUUCUUAUCAAGGUUACUGAACUUUAAACUUAGCCUUGUAUUUGUUAAAGUGAUUUAGAUCUGUAAUUUGUUAUAUUUGGGGAAAACGAUUUGUUAAUGAUAGUGUAGAAAUAUAAUGCUUACAUAAUAUUUGACAAAAUGCCACAAAGAACUAUAGAACUAUUUGUCAUCUUUUAAGAUAAUAGGUUAAUUUUUUUUUUUUGUUGAUAAAAUGCUGUAGCCGUGUUUUCAAAUUUUUUUAUAAUAAUUCGAUGAUGAAAAAAAUUAGACUUGGCCAUUCGAGUGUGGUAGCUUUGUGUGAUAGUUUGGCGUAUGCAUUUGUUUGAUGCAAGAUGCAUUUCGGUUAAUGCCCAUCGCACGUGUGAGGUGUGUUUUGGUGCGAUAGGCACCGUCGCACCAACACGUGUGCGAGAGGCAAUAAUUGUUGUUUAUUAACUACUUUCUUGUAGAUUUUACAAGAACACAUGGAAUCUGUUGAUGGUAAGAGGAAAAAAUCGAAAGAAAAAUUAUUAUGGCAGGAAAAGCAAGUAGUAAAAAAAAAGCAUGGAUAUACUAUUUGUAAGUAUAAUUUAUAUGCAUUUAUGUACCCAUUAUGUUAAAAGGUUCAAUUUUUUUAAUUAAUGUAUCUUAAAAUAUUGAUCACAAUAAGGCAGAAGCAAAACGACUAAGGCUAUUAGGGGUAGAAAAGGUAGAUAAAACGGUAUGUAGCAAAAAAAAUGACUUGCUGGAUAUUCAAUUUUCUCUUGCCCAAAAUGAUAUGCCACUGAUCGUAUAUAUAUUAUCAUUGUUGUAGGUUAGAGCUGAUAUUGCACAAAAUUGGAAGAAACUAACCCCCAGGAGAGGCAUCAAUGGAUGGUUAGUAAUAUGAAUGAGAUAUCUAGCUCAAAUAGUGGUGAAAAUAGUGGUACGAGUAAAAAUAUUAAGGAAUCUGAUGAGGAGAAGAC
rnacentral:lncRNA from 1 species